rnacentral:rRNA from 1 species
CAAUAGCGUAUAUUAAAGUUGUUGCAGUUAAAAAGCUCGUAGUUGGACUUCUGGGCCGUUUUGUUGGUCUGCCGCAAGGCUGUACUAGCGGGAUGGCUCAUCCUCUCGAAGGCUGGGGGUGCUCUUAACUGGGUGCUUUCAGAACUCGGGAUCUUUACUUGAAAAAAUUAGAGUGUUCAAAGCAGGCUUACGCUUGAAUACAUUAGCAUGGAAUAAUGGAAUAGGACUUUGGUUCUAUUUUGUUGGUUUCUAGAACUGAAGUAAUGAUUAAUAGGGAUAGUUGGGGGUGCUAGUAUUCAGCGGCCAGAGGUGAAAUUCUUGGAUUCGCUGAAGACUAACUUAUGCGAAAGCAUUCACCAAGGAUGUCUUCUUUAAUCAAGAACGAAAGUUAGGGGAUCGAAGACGAUUAGAUACC